ensembl:lncRNA
CUGAAGACAGAAAGACAUGAACAUGAGAGGUAUUAUUGCAGCAUCAAAGAUGCUGGAUGAUGUGUUUUGCACCAAAGUUGAAUACUUAUUGUUAGGGGUUUGUUUAAAUCCGUAAGUAUAGCAAUAGUGAUGUUUGUCAUGUGUGUGUUAGUUACUGAGCAGUUUACCGGAACCAUAAUCAUGAUCUUUACUCAUUCAUUCACUAAAGCGUGUGUGUUUGUAUGUCCACCCACAUCUCUUUUCUCUGUCACACAAUCAUUUCCCAUCCUCAUUGAUUUAUUAGUGAUCUCAACAAUUCAAACAAGUGAGUAAACCAAUUCUUUGGGCCCCUCAACCGGUUUACCACCAAUUAAGGAAGUCAACGCUGUUAGUCAUAUUUAUCUUUUUUAGCAUGAGUGCACAUGUGUGGUCGUCACAUCAAGUGUAAGAAAACCGUUGGCAAAUAACUAAUGAAAAAGCAUAUAAUCAGGGCAAUAAAAUUCAUUUAGGAUAGGACUUUAUUACAUCACGCUGACGCUUUGUGAUCAAUGAUUUUGGGGAUACAAAAAGGCUGGGAGUAAAAAUCAGACUAGAAGCACUGGACGACUGCUAAAGUGCUACGAGAACAUCAAACUGAGGGUGAGUUACGUUUCUGAACGCGCUUCUGUCACACAUUUGAUUGCCAGGAAAAAUGGUUCGUCUUUCACCACUAAAAGUUCUCAUUUUCAUCUUUUUAAGGUGUGGAAAUGUCUGUUCUCACAAGUCUGACGCAAGUGUCCAUCCUUGCGAUAUUUCUCAUCCAGUGUGCAACCAGCCUUCCGGUUCUGGGCAGGUCGGGUCAUGUUCAACCUCAAAAAUAAUUGAAUUUUCAACCUCAGUCUGAUCUUUCGUGCUGUUUCUGAAAUGUAGCCGAGUAGUUCUAUCAAAUCCUAUUAGAUCUCUAUCUCUUUGUCCUUGCUUGAGUUUCUUCUUUACAUUUUUGUUUCUUCUUUCCACUUUCUCCAAUUCUGUUUGGAGGUGAUAAGACUUCCAAUUUUCUUAAUUCAUGUUGUUUUUUCUGAAGCACACAUACCAAAUAAACAUUUUUCCCCCAGUUUCACAGUUGAUGUAUUGACUCUAUGUUUUGGCUUUUAUCAUCGCAGGUAUCUUGGAGAAGAGGACAGCAUCUCAACAGCGGACACCUUUUCUCCCAGAAAGAUGUUGUUUCCUAGAGAUGAUGCAGAUAUGCUUUUUGAUGACCGAGACAGGAGAUCUGGACUUCAGACGAGGCAGUUGGGUGACAUUGAGUUCACAAACAGAUAUGCUGAACUUCUGAAAUCCAAAGCUAAAAUCACAUCCAUCUGCGCCCUCCUGAAACGCAUGCAAAGCAGCAAGAAAAGGUAAAACCUCUGAUAUGCUCUUCCAAAUCAAGAGGUCUUUUAAUUUACAUUUGUGCAUUUGAUAUUUGCAGUUAAGCUCCCUGACAGCAUACGAACAUCACGGAGACAUCUGUUUUACAUCUGCAAGACUUAUUGUUUAGAGUGUUU